GGAGUGCUCGAAAGAGAACCUGCACACAGGUGCUGCAUGGCUGUCGUCAGCUCGUGUCGUGAGAUGUUGGGUUAAGUCCCGCAACGAGCGCAACCCUUGCCAUUAGUUGCUACGAAAGGGCACUCUAAUGGGACUGCCGGUGACAAACCGGAGGAAGGUGGGGAUGACGUCAAGUCCUCAUGGCCCUUAUAGGUGGGGCUACACACGUCAUACAAUGGCCGGUACAGAGGGUAGCCAACCCGCGAGGGGGAGCCAAUCCCACAAAGCCGGUCGUAGUCCGGAUCGCAGUCUGCAACUCGACUGCGUGAAGUCGGAAUCGCUAGUAAUCGCGGAUCAGCAUGUCGCGGUGAAUACGUUCCCGGGUCUU
rnacentral:rRNA from 1 species